rnacentral:lncRNA from 1 species
CAGACAAGGACUUUAGCCUCCUGCAAAGAGGCAAUAAAUAAUCAUGACAGUUUCUGACAGCAGCAAGUACAAUGAACACAAUUAGAAAGAUGUUUAAGUAUGACUAGUGGGGUUCAGGGAGGGAGGCACAGACAGUAUUAAAGGAAAAGCUGGCAUUCAAGCCUUUCUCUGAACACAGGAAAGAAUGCAUUCAGUGCCUGGGACAGCACAGGACAGGCUGGCAGCUGGCAGGAUGAGAAAAAAGUAGAGUGGGUGGGGCAUGGCAGGAGAUGCCUACCACCCAAAAAUCAGCUCCACCACUAUCUUCAGCUCACUCCCCUCUGACCACACCUACUGAAUUGAAUUCCUCAUAUUCCCCUCACUCCACACCCCCACACAUACACCACAAGAGUAAGUGGGGAACUUCGUAGGAACAUUUUACCCAUCUCAGUGGAGUAGUCAAAAAGAAGGCAUUCUUGUGAGAGGCAUUUUGCAAAGGACAAUGAGGCCAGCAAUGAGAAAUCCUUGUCAGUCAGUGCCCUUUAGGGGUUAAACCUAAAGCAGAGAUAAUGAUCAGCCAAACUCUAGCAAAUCAGUCAGUUCUCUCCCUUCUUGACAAUCUGACACCACUCUGGCUUCAGCCAGGUAACCUGCCCAGUACCAGUGAAACCCAUGUGUUAUCCUUGGUUGUCCUUGCAAUACACCAGCCAUCAAACUGUCCCCCAGUCAGAGAGGCUAAGAUGAAGCCUAAUUGGGAAUCGUGUGGUCAGGAGAAUGGAAUAUUUUAAGACUGUCUUUCCAGACUGAGUUUGUUAACCAGAUGCAUCAUCAGAAGAUCUCUGAUGAUCAUCAGAAGAACCUCUGGCUGAUGAAGACUCAGAUUCUAGUCUGUGGUUGG